UACGGAGGGAGCUAGCGUUGUUCGGAAUCACUGGGCGUAAAGCGCGCGUAGGCGGGUGGCUAAGUCUGGUGUGAAAUCCCGGGGCUCAACCUGGGAAUUGCCUUCGAAACUGGAGGGCUAGAGUGUGGUAGAGGGGGGUGGAAUUCCUUGUGUAGCGGUGAAAUGCGUAGAUAUCAGGAGGAAUACCAGUGGCGAAGGCGGCCCCCUGGACCAAUACUGACGCUGAGGUGCGAAAGCGUGGGGAGCAAACAGG
rnacentral:rRNA from 1 species